AGAGCGAACGCUGGCGGCAUGCUUAACACAUGCAAGUCGCACGGGCACUUCGGUGUCAGUGGCGGACGGGUGAGUAACGCGUAGGUAUCUAUCCUUGGGUGGGGGACAACGGUUGGAAACGACUGCUAAUACCGCAUAAUAACUGAGGUUUAAAGGCGCAAGUCGCCUGAGGAGGAGCCUGCGUACGAUUAGCUAGUUGGUGGGGUAAAGGCCUACCAAGGCGACGAUCGUUAGCUGGUCUGAGAGGAUGAUCAGCCACAUUGGGACUGAGACACGGCCCAAACUCCUACGGGAGGCAGCAGUGGGAAUAUUGGACAAGUGGGCGAAAGCCUGAUCCAGCAAUGCCGCGUGUGUGAAGAAGGUCUUCGGAUUGUAAAGCACUUUCGACAGGGACGAUGAUGACGGUACCUGUAGAAGACGCCCGGCUAACUUCGCGCCAGCAGCCGAC
rnacentral:rRNA from 1 species